AUUGAACGCUGGCGGCAUGCCUUACACAUGCAAGUCGAACGGCAGCACGGGUGCUUGCACCUGGUGGCGAGUGGCGAACGGGUGAGUAAUAUAUCGGAACGUACCUUAUUGUGGGGGAUAACGCAGCGAAAGCUGUGCUAAUACCGCAUAAUCCCCAAGGGGGAAAGCGGGGGACCGUAAGGCCUCGCGCAAUUAGAGCGGCCGAUACCUGAUUAGCUAGUUGGUGAGGUAAAGGCUCACCAAGGCAACGAUCAGUAGCUGGUCUGAGAGGACGAUCAGCCACACUGGGACUGAGACACGGCCCAGACUCCUACGGGAGGCAGCAGGGGGGAAUUUUGGACAAUGGGGGCAACCCUGAUCCAGCAAUGCCGCGUGAGUGAAGAAGGCCUUCGGGUUGUAAAGCUCUUUUGUCAGGGAAGAAACAGCAGCUCUAACACAGUAUGCGAAUGACGGUACCUGAAGAAUAAGCACCGGCUAACUACGUGCCAGCCGCCGCAGUAA
rnacentral:rRNA from 1 species